AUGUUCCAGCCAUCCUUCACACACACCUUAAGUGAAAUUAAUGAGAUCACUCUAUGGUUACGCUUUGUGUUUUAUUUUCACUUUCUAGGUCUGUAUGAGCUGUUGGCUGUUGUGCCAGGCCGGCUGGGGCCACGUGUGGACAGCCAGGAAGACCUGACCUUCCUCUGGGAUAUGUUUGGUGAGAAAAGCCUGCAUUCACCGGUAAAGAAGUUACUCGUCGAGCACCAUUUUCCUUUAGGUUAGUGAUUUCUGAAUUGUAUUCAUGAAACAUUUCCUUAAUG
rnacentral:lncRNA from 1 species